rnacentral:sRNA from 1 species
GGACAGUCAUCGCCGAGUCCCCGUACGGCGCGAGCCAGGGGAGCCGGGGACCCAUCUGUGAAGUCCCUGGGGUGAAUCGGGCGCCCGCGCGAGCCGCGUGGGGGUCCGUAGGAGACCUUCCUGCUCCGAACCCGUCAGCUAACCCGGUAGGCGAGAGGGAAGGAAAGG